rnacentral:rRNA from 1 species
AACGCUAGCUACAGGCUUAACACAUGCAAGUCGAGGGGCAGCGAGGGAGUGCUUGCGCUUCUGUCGGCGACCGGCGCACGGGUGAGUAACACGUAUGCAACCUGCCCUUGUCAGGGGGAUAAGCGAGGGAAACCUCGUCUAAUACCGCAUAUAUGAUUUAGAGGCAUCUCUUAAUCAGGAAAGAAUUAUCGGACAAGGAUGGGCAUGCGGGACAUUAGGUAGUUGGGGGUGUAACGGACCACCAAGCCGACGAUGUCUAGGGGUUCUGAGAGGAAGGUCCCCCACACUGGUACUGAGACACGGACCAGACUCCUACGGGAGGCAGCAGUGAGGAAUAUUGGUCAAUGGGCGAGAGCCUGAACCAGCCAAGUCGCGUGAGGGAAGACGGUACUAAGUAUUGUAAACCUCUUUUGUCAGGGAACAAAGAGACCACGAGUGGUAAGAUGAGUGUACCUGAAGAAAAAGCAUCGGCUAACUCCGUGCCAGCAGCCGCGGUAAUACGGAGGAUGCGAGCGUUAUCCGGAUUUAUUGGGUUUAAAGGGUGCGUAGGCGGCGUAUCAAGUCAGCGGUUAAAUGUCGGGGCUCAACCUCGGCCUGCCGUUGAAACUGAUGAGCUAGAGAGGAUGAGAAGUAUGCGGAAUGCGUGGUGUAGCGGUGAAAUGCAUAGAUAUCACGAAGAACUCCGAUUG